UACGAAGGGGGCUAGCGUUGUUCGGAAUCACUGGGCGUAAAGCGCACGUAGGCGGAUGUGCCAGUCAGGGGUGAAAUCCCGGAGCUCAACUCCGGAACUGCCUCUGAUACAGCACGUCUUGAGUUCAGAGAGGUGGGUGGAAUUCCUAGUGUAGAGGUGAAAUUCGUAGAUAUUAGGAAGAACACCGGUGGCGAAGGCGGCCCACUGGCUCGAUACUGACGCUGAGGUGCGAAAGCGUGGGGAGCAAACAGG
rnacentral:rRNA from 1 species